rnacentral:rRNA from 1 species
AUUGAACGCUGGCGGCAGGCCUAACACAUGCAAGUCGAGCGGAUGAAGGGAGCUUGCUCCUGGAUUCAGCGGCGGACGGGUGAGUAAUGCCUAGGAAUCUGCCUGGCAGUGGGGGAUAACGUCCGUAAACGGGCGCUAAUACUGCAUACGUCCUGCGGGAGAAAGUGGGGGAUCUUCGGACCUCACGCUCUCAGAUGAGCCUAGGCCGGAUUAGCUAGCUGGUGGGGUAAAGGCCUACCAAGGCGACGAUCCGUAACUGGUCUGAGAGGAUGAUCAGUCACACUGGAACGGGGACACGGUCCAGGCUCCUACGGGACGCAGCAGUGGGGAAUAUUGGACAAUGGGCGGAAGCCUGAUCCAGCGAUGCCGCGUGUGUGAAGAAGGUCUUCGGAUUGUAAAGCACUUUAAGUUGGGAGGAAGGGCAGUAAGUUAAUACCUUGCUGUUUUGACGUUACCAACAGAAUAAGCACCGGCUAACUUCGUG